UUUUAAAUUGCUGUAGUAUUUUGACUAUACAAAGGUAUUGUAAUAAGACUUUAAUUGAGUGCUAAAAGAAUGGAAUUACAAAAAAAGGCUUUUUUAAUUUUAAAAAUUAAAAUUAUUUUUUUUUGUGAAGAAACAAAAAUUUAAAUUAAAGACAAGAAGACCCUAAGAAUUUUUUUUUUUAUUAAAAUAAUAUUUUAUUUUAAAAAUUUAAUUGGGGCGAUUAAUUAAUAUUAAAAACUUUAUUAACAAAAAAAAUGAUCCAUUAUUAAUGAUUAUUUGAUUAAAAUACUCUAGGGAUAACAGCGUAAUAAUUUUUGAUAGUUCUUAUAGAAAAAAUAGUUUGCGACCUCGAUGUUGGAUUAGGAUUCUUUUUUAAUG
rnacentral:rRNA from 1 species